AUUGAACGCUGGCGGCAUGCCUUACACAUGCAAGUCGAACGGCAGCAUGAUCUCGCUUGCUAGAUUGAUGGCGAGUGGCGAACGGGUGAGUAAUACAUCGGAACGUGCCCUGUAGUGGGGGAUAACUAGUCGAAAGAUUAGCUAAUACCGCAUACGACCUGAGGGUGAAAGUGGGGGACCGCAAGGCCUCAUGCUAUAGGAGCGGCCGAUGUCUGAUUAGCUAGUUGGUGAGGUAAAGGCUCACCAAGGCGACGAUCAGUAGCGGGUCUGAGAGGACGAGAGCCCACCGUGGACCUAGAAACGGCCCCGACCCCCACGGGAGGCAGGCGGUGGGAAUUUUUGACCAUGGGGGAAAGGCCUAUCCAGCAAAGCCGGGGGUGUGAAGAAAGCCUUUCGGGUGGUAAGCCAUUUUGUCCGGAAAGAAAUGGCUCCGGUUAAAACCUGGGGUUGAUGACGGGAACGGAAGAAUAAGGACCGGCCAACUACGUG
rnacentral:rRNA from 1 species